AAAUGCGAUAAGUAAUGUGAAUUGCAGAAUUCAGUGAAUCAUCGAAUCUUUGAACGCACAUUGCGCCCGCCAGUAUUCUGGCGGGCAUGCCUGUUCGAGCGUCAUUACAACCCUCAGGCCCCCGGGCCUGGCGUUGGGGAUCGGCGGAAGCCCCCUGCGGGCACAACGCCGUCCCCCAAAUACAGUGGCGGUCCCGCCGCAGCUUCCAUUGCGUAGUAGCUAACACCUCGCUACUGGAGAGCGGCGCGGCCACGCCGUAAAACACCCAACUUCUGAAUGUUGACCUCGAAUCAGGUAGGAAUACCCGCUGAACUUAAGC
rnacentral:misc_RNA from 1 species